rnacentral:rRNA from 1 species
AUUGAACGCUGGCGGCAGGCCUAACACAUGCAAGUCGAGCGGAUGAAGGUAGCUUGCUAUCUGAUUCAGCGGCGGACGGGUGAGUAAUGCCUAGGAAUCUGCCUGGUAGUGGGGGACAACGUUUCGAAAGGAACGCUAAUACCGCAUACGUCCUACGGGAGAAAGUGGGGGAUCUUCGGACCUCACGCUAUCAGAUGAGCCUAGGUACGAUUAGCUAGUUGGUGAGGUAAAGGCUCAUAAAGGCGACGAUCGUUAACUGGUCUGAGAGGAUGAUCAGUCACACGGGAACUGAGACACGGUCAGGACUCCUACGGGAGGCAGCAGUGGGGAAUAUUGGACAAUGGGCGAAAGCCUGAUCCAGCAAUGCCGCGUGUGUGAAGAAGGUCUUCGGAUUGUAAAGCACUUUAAGUUGGGAGGAAGGGCAGUAAGUUAAUACCUUGCUGUUUUGACGUUACCAACAGAAUAAGCACCGGCUAACUUCGUGCCAGCAGCCGCCGUAAUAC